AUUCUGUGCGCUUCGACUAACCGAUACCCAGAGGCUGUCCUCACUGACAGUCGGGGGAAUCCAAACAAAGAGGAGGUUCAGUGUGAGGGAAGUUUUGCGCCAGGGCCGAGGAGGGAUGGAGGAGCGGUCAGCCUCGCUGUAGGCUCGUGAGGAAACCGGGGUUCGCAGUGUAAAGAAAGCAGAAGGUCAAAACAUGGCUGUCCAAAGAAUGGGAUGCUUGCCAAAACAUCAAUCUGUGCUGAGUGCCAUACUCAUUAUCCUUCCAGUGGUGGAUUACAACUCGGGUCUCCUCAGGAGGUGACUGAUGUGGAACAAACUGUACGACUGUCUUUGCUGUUUGGAUACGUGUGUAAGUUAACGGGCUACUGGGAGAAGAUGAAGAGGCUUUUGCAGAAAAAUGAGGAUAUCAUGGGAAGUGCUGCUGCUAACCAUUUGGAUUAUAUUGCUGUCUGACACAGAAGUUCUGCAGAUUACGUAAGGUAUGCUUCUCCCUGACUGUUGCAAAAACACGGUCUCAUAUAUCAAAAUAUUAAGCACAUUGUCUAAAUUUUAAAUAAACUUGCUUUUUAACCUG
rnacentral:lncRNA from 7 species